GUUGAUUAUGGCUCAGGAUGAACGCUGGCGGCGUGCCUAACACAUGCAAGUCGAGCGAUUCUCCUCGGAGAAGAGCGGCGGACGGGUGAGUAACGCGUGGGUAACCUGCCUCAUACACAUGGAUAACAUACCGAAAGGUAUGCUAAUACAGGAUAAUAUAAGAGAUUCACAUGGAUUUCUUAUCAAAGCUCCGGCGGUAUGAGAUGGACCCGCGUCUGAUUAGCUAGUUGGUAAGGUGACGGCUUACCAAGGCGACGAUCAGUAGCCGACCUGAGAGGGUGAUCGGCCACAUUGGAACUGAGACACGGUCCAAACUCCUACGGGAGGCAGCAGUGGGGAAUAUUGCACAAUGGGCGAAAGCCUGAUGCAGCAACGCCGCGUGAGUGAUGAAGGCCUUCGGGUCGUAAAACUCUGUCCUCAAGGAAGAUAAUGACGGUACUUGAGGAGGAAGCCCCGGCUAACUACGUGCCAGCCGCUGC
rnacentral:rRNA from 1 species